UUAAGCCCUGGUUAGUUUUAACAGGCAGAUUACUGAAAAUCCUGCCUGUUUAUGUUCUGUACAUGAGCUUGUGUGAACUAGACAAGUAGACAUACACACAAACACACACAAACACACACGCACACACUGCAACCAAAUAUUCCUUCAACGACCCCUCGUACAGUGUCCGGGGUCACCCCUGAGGCAGCCCCCUAAGACCUUUAACCUUUAACCCCCCCUGACCCAUCCUGGGAAGAAGAGACACUGUCCGGCAGUGCCUCGGAUUCCUGAGAUCUGUGGCAUACUCAAGACCGUUCACACCGUGUCCCCGUUACGAGGAUCUGGAUGAAGACGAGGCAAUCUGCGCAAUACUUAUAGCGUGGCUUACACACGCAACAUCUGGCUCCCAUCGCUGCUUACCCUGCGAGCAGAGUGAUGUUGAUAUUGGUCCUUUUGUAGCUUUCAUCUUAUCUGAGCUGCAUGCCACUGGCAGACAGACGGCUUUAAGCUUGUAAUUGCUUCCCCCCCAGGCUACGGAGCCUACCUCCCCUUCCAGGAGCCCAGACGCCCUGCACCCCCCUUCCCAGCAGGGGGGCGUGCUGGAGGUUGUAACAAUGGAGUGUGACUGUCUCUCUGCGAUGUGGGACACCGGUGACCCCCCGGAGACCCCCCCCCUGUCGCUUGACGGCGUCUCAUCCGCGGUGACCUGGUUUGACCACCAUUACCCGCGCUCCAUCCCUUUGCCCCCUCGUCCAUCCAUCCAUCCAGCUGCCUUCCGUACCCCCACCACCAACCCAUCUCCCUCCAUCCUGUCUCAUUAACCCCCUGAGGCUCAUCUCUGAUGAGCCCUCCACCUCGCGGGGACAUUCUGGGGCUCUGAAUUAAACCUCUAAAAACAUGGAGGACAUUUUCUUAAGAAAUAAAGGUCAUUUUGAGGUCCAUACACUAUAGUUUAAGGGAUCAAGGAUAUUUGGGAAACAAAUCAAUAGUGCUAAAUACUUGGAUGAGAUUAUUUGGGACUAGCCCAUACUGUUGAAGACAUGGAGGGUGUCCUAUUCUUCCCACUGUCCUUCUGCUCAGUUUCUCCUUCAUAUCCUCCUCCUUAUCCCUUCAUCCAGCGUAAACAAUAGCUAUAUUUCAGCCCUGCGUGGAAGUAUCACAGUAUUGUCCAAACACUAGCCAUAGAAUAACAUACACAUUGGUAUAUCCUUACCCCCUCACGCUAGGCACUGUCCGCCUGCUCUAUUUUGAGGAUAAACACGCCAUCCGCCAGGAGAGGAAGAUGGGAAAAAUGAGAAAGUCGGGUUUAUCGGAGGGCCGGGGUUAUUUACCUAUCUCUUCCUUCCUGUGUUUAGGCAAGGGGGAUUAUAUCUAGAGAGGGAAACAGUACCAGAGUUCACUCCUACCAGGAUAACACAGAAUUAGCCCUUCUGCUCCUCCCAACCCCGUCCCUCUCCUUUUUCUGUCCUUCAAUCUCCUCCCAUCUCCUCCUUCUCUUCCUCAUGUCCCCCAUCCCCGAUCCCCCCCCCUCUCACCAAUCGAACCCGCGUUCAUCCCUCGACCAAUCGCCUUGCACCCCCGGCACAGCGUCGCCAGUCGCGGCUGUGUUGACAUUACCCCGCUCAGACCAGGCCUAGAGUACUGUCUUGUUUAAUAGCCAGGGCCCUGUUUAGAGUUUGGGACCUCUUUUUUUUUAACAGAGGUUUGAUGGAACGACGGGGGCCAAAGAGCAACACUUGUCCCACUUCCUGUUAUCAUUACCUCUCAGUCACAAGAGACGUAGGCGAUCGGCUCCCCGGCCUCACAGCUUUACUCAUCCUCAAUCGACUUGUCAGUCUGGGUUGUCCUUGGUUGAGUAACAAUCUCUGGUGGUAAUUUCCCAUGAUUCAUUAGGAAAUGGUGACAUGUGCGUGUUAGUGUAUAAUUUUUUGGUUCGUUUUUGGGUUGAGUUUACUAUUUGUUUAGAGAGGGUUAAGUUCAGGGAAGGGUUAUGGUUUUGCUAAGGCCAGGCUACCGAUUUUGGGCCAAGCCAAGCCACAGCAAUUACCAUCGCUAAUUCUGUAUAGCUGCAUUUAUAUCUAUAAAUGUUCCACUACUCGGUCCUAGUUAAUACAGUAACUCAGAGACCGUUGCAAUAGGUGUAUAUUACACCCAAAAUGGCUGAAUAGCUGAAAUUCUCAGCGCCGCAAGUGAUUUUCCCGCAUUUGCACUUUCAACGUUCUGCAAAACACCUUCUCUUUAAGGAAAUGCUAUCAGACCCAUACCUCCCUCCACUGAGCUGAAUCUCCAUGCAGGGAAUGACUUUGUUAAUAGUCUGGUGUUGCAGCAGCUCUCUUACAAAGUUCUAGAGAGAGUCAAAUGUUUGUAAAAGAAUAUCAUAUAUUCAUAUUGAAAAGAUAUAUAAGAGUAGAGUAGUAUCCCUUCAACAAAAACUCGUAUAAUGAAUUGGUGUUAUUAGCAAUAUUAGUCUUUAUAUUGUUAUUAAUGACAAAGAUGUAUAUAACACAAAGUAGAAAAAUUUAGUUGCACAUGGAAAAAAACGUCAUUCUAUCAAACUAGUAUAGAAUCUUGCAUAGAAAACCCUUACUUUUAUUGAAGUAGAAGACGAAAAGUAAGGCGUUCUAUGCAUGGUAUAGCCUGAUAUAAGCCUCUGAAACUGAAAUGAUUCCAGGGUUUUCCUGAGAAAAAUAGGUUGUUUUCUGUAGGCUAGCUUUCCGACUGCAGACAGAACUUUAUUCACCACGUCAGUACAUCUGUGGCACAUUUCUCUGCGGUUCUCUAUUGUGUUUCACUUCAGAACCCAAACUCUGAGCGUCAGGAGAACCUUUCAUGUGGCCUGGUUUUUUUUCCCCGACACUAAUGUCUGUUUUUGUGUGUUGUUGUGCAAUCUCCAGGGGGAGAGGAAAAAGUUAUUUUACUUUUCUCACAGUUCUGGUUUGUCGCAACUGCUAAAGUUAAAGCAGCGUAAUCCUGUGUGACGUACAGAGCUGUGUUUGUACCAAGGUGAAGAGGGAGGUGGCAAAUGCCAGCCCUGCUGAUUAGAAGCUCCUACACGCACACGGUCAUCUUACAGUCUGGAUGAAGUGCGGCCUUGUCAGCACUAGCUCUGUCUCUGUCUCUGUCUCUGUCUCUGUCUCUGUCUCUCUCUCUCUCUCUCUCUCUCUCUGUCUCUCUCUGUGUGUCUCUCUAUGUGUGACACUCUCUCUGUGUAUCUCUUUGUUCUUCUUCUGGGGCCUGUUGACUUGCCACCCUGGCGUCGGACAUUACAUAUUUAAAUGCGUUCCUACAGAAUACGGUAGACGUAUUGACGUAGGCGUAGGGAGAGAUCCCCCACAAUGCCUUGCAUUCACGCUUGGCAAAAAGGCUGAGAAGCAUAGUAAGAGACAUAGAGAGAGAGACAGUGGCCCUACAGUAUAUCUCGAACAGACCUGGCCACUGACCACCUGUUUAAUCCAAACGUUUACCACUCCUUCUUCUGACGUGCAUGGUGAUGUCACCACACCCCGAUGGGCCAAUCCGGGUCUCCACCCAAAGCUGCUUUCAAAGCCCAUCUUGCCCCCUUAAAGGCUUCCUUCAGGAUUGAUCAACCUGGGCAAUAUUUACUGCUCUCUCAGCUCUGGCAAAAAAAUGAUUUUUAUAGUGACUCAGCCCUGUACUCAAUAGCAUCUAAUGUUAACUUAUGGUUUUCAUUACUUGCCUUUUGCUAACAAACAUACAUUUGUGAUCUGCUGCCGAGGAACUACAGAUGCAAAUGAGCUUAAAGCUGAAAUGUACGGCUCAUCAAAUGCCAACGCUUAUGUUUUAAGCGGGAUGCGGCCCCUUUUUAAAUCAAAUAAAUAAGUACAAAUUACAAUUUUAACUGGUCCAGUAUUGAGCGGGUAUGCUGCGGCCGCAAUCGUCCCCUAAAAGUCCCGAAGUUCUCCCCUAAUACGACUUGAAUCCGUGUGCCGUAAUGUAAUGCGUAAAGCACAGGAGCCACGGUAGGAGGGAUCAGUCCAUCAGAUCCUAGCUGGGGGGCUGGAUAGUACAGGAGUCAGACGGGUUGACCCCCAGCCAAAAGGUUCCGGGCUCAAACCCUAAUGUCCCAAGGCUACCUGUAGGCACCAUUGAGCAAGAUGCCCUAACCAUUAUCUGUGCAUUUCUAGCCAAUGUAGUAAAUAUCAGAAAAUGCCAUUCAUUAACUGUAAAAUGUUUUUUGAUUAAAGCGCUGAAAUGAAGAAAUGUUAAACUGGAGACAAUGAAAGUCUUAUCUUAAUUAUCUAUAAAAGCCGAUCCCCCCCCCCCCCCCCCCCCCCCUACAUUCUGUUAUUACUGUUUGGAAUGUUAAACCCCACCUCCUCUGACUUAGUGAUGCAGUCACCAAAGCUGCUCCAUCUUGGAGAGGGUGAAAGUGAUUAGAUGUCAAUAUUAGAUAAGUAAAGACAUGCCUGGAAUGUUUUGAUGUGCAUUAAGCUCAAAUAUAUUAGAAAUGUUAAUGAAUCAAGAUGAACAUUGAUCCGAUGUUCUUCUGGUAAAUGCCUUGUUGAUAACAAUAACAAUAAUAAAAACCUUUUAUAUUGCAUCUUUUAUUACAAUCAUUGAAAGCAGAGUGCUUCACAUCAAUUCCGAAAAUCAUUGGCAAUACCGAUGGGAUAAAGUAAAUACAACACGCACAUGGUCUUGCGUUAUGACAGCUCAGCAUUACACGACGAAUGGUAUUGAUUCCACAUUAAUGACCAUAUGCAGCACGGCAUGAAUGAAGGCCUUUUUGGAAGGAAACAUGGUGUGCCUUUGGGCAGGGCGGGUUUAGAACUGCACCCAGCUGCAGCUGAUGUCCCCUUUAUGAACACAGAGAUACCAGAGACCAGGGAGACAUGAAAGUCUGGGGGGGGGGGUGCAUGUGCGUGCUUUUAUGUGCUCUGCUAGGUCGCGCUGCGUGCUUCCUGUUGUUGACACACACACACACACACACACACUCACACUCACACUCACACUCACACUCACACACAGGCCCAGUGUUCAGGCCUGCAGAAGGUCCAUCUCAGCUCACAUUAACUAUCAGCUCAUUUGUCACUACCUGCUGGGCAGAGGGCAAAGGUCACAGGCCACAGGGCGUGUGUGUAUGUGUCUGUGUGGGUCUGUCUGUUUAUCUCUGUGUGUGUGUGUGUGUGUGGGUGUGGGUGUGUGUAUCUCUCAGUUUAUCUGUUGGUGUGUGCGCUUGUGUCCAUGCUUCUCAGAGUAAGCUGAGACCUCUCCAGGACCUCUACCUUGGGCUGCAGAGCGGGGUUAUGGCAGUAUGGUUCUCAUUGUGUCUGAACAGGGAAGCGUGAAGAGGAGAGCAGGCCUGGAUGGAGAACCAUGGUCAAUGAAACUACCUAAUGGAGGUCCAUGUUCUACGACCGUGUGUAUUUGUGUGUGUGUGUGUGUGUGUGUCUGUGUCUGUGUCUGUGUCUGUCUGUGUGUGUCUGUGUGUAUGACUGGCACACCAUGUUCGGCUGGUCUUUGCAGAGCAUCUGAUAGCUAGCUAGUGCCCCCUACAGUCAAAAGUCAGACAGAGGCUCUACUCCACACCCAGAUGUGAAUAAGAUAGUAGUAUUGGGGGUUAGGGGGCUAGCAACACCUCACCGCCCCCGUAGACUCCAGGUCGCUUAGCAAAGUGGGAAUAAGGAGACUUCUCUGUACUACCUUAUAAUUAUACCCAUCUGAGCCCCCCCCCCUCCAAAUCUCAAAUCCUUAUACUCUGUUGACUCUUGCCCACCUUGUGCCCCGAGGCUGGGGGAGGCUGGUUCGACCAAUCACCCAGGAGAUAUUGAAAUCACCGGUUGCCGCGGUAACUGAGCAUCCAGGGGGGUUGAGGGGGUCAAUCAGGGACACCCUCUGCCUGUCAUUAAUUACCCAGAGUUCCCUGGGGCGCUGGCCUGCGUGGAAGCUGAGAGCUCAAAAAGUGUGAUCAGGGGGAGAUUUUCCGUGUGUUUGAUAUCUGUAACGCACCCCCCCCCCCCUGCAACCCCCCCCCGUACUAGUGGAGCGUGUGACGGUGUUAGCAAAACACUGUGUUCAGCGCACAUGUCACGUUAGACUCUUAACUUAAGCCUAUCAAAUUCACCUGUCAGACAUCUUACCAUGAAAGAAAAAAAGAUCUUUCUUUUUUGUGGCCAAUGAUUGAAGGCUGUUCGUGUUUGAAGGUUCUUGGUUCAAUGGUGUAACACGACCCAAGAAGUGUCUUUUGUGUAUUGUUUUGGUGUCGUCCGUUUACCCACAGUGCUUUGUGUCAGGUUUUUGACCAGCCACAACACUCCAGAUCUCUGCCUCUCUCUGAUUCUGGAAGUUUCCAUGUUUAGGUUUUUGGACAGAGUUGGGUGGAUACAAGGAUUUGUCUGGCUUUCAGGGAAGCUUUGAUUGGUCUCGAAAAAACAAAAACAAAACAAAUCAGUUUGGCAAUGUUAAUCCCGUCCCCUUUUUCCUGACGUCAUCUUUAGCGAACUAAACACAAAACGACAGCCUUUUUACUUUGGAGCUAGUUUCAAUUCUGCUGCCUGUUUCGGGAAUCUGAUUGACAGCUAGAUUCGGGGAGAGAUCAAGAAGAGUCAAACUCCCCCGACGAGUUCUGGAAGAGUGUAAAACGUCUGUCAUUUGUCCCUUCUCAUUCCCAUCACAAUCUCUUCCCUCUUCCCCGUUUUUCAUAAUGGUUUUCCUAUCCCCCGCCAACAAUUUCCUUGACUCUCAGAACUCAGAGUUCUGGACCCUCUCUCUGCUCCUCACAUUAAUGCCAUUAGUCGGGUGUGCUCAUGCAUUGAUGUUUGUGCAUCUCAUUACGUCUGGAUGAGGUGGGGGGGGGACGUUUAUUAAUGCAGGGUGGAUAAGGACCGCAAGCACAUGUUGAACUGAAACACUCCUCUCUCUCAAACACACUCACACACACACACACACACACACACACACACACACACACACACACACACACACACACACACACCCGGCCUCCCCCUGGUCUGUCUGGGAGGGAUUUCUGAACACACACAGAGGGUCCUUCGGCUGUGUGUGUGUGUUCAUGUGUGUGUAUAUGUGUGUGUGUGUGUAAUGUUUGUGGAUGAUCUGGUAUAGAGAGCCUAAGAGCGGAUGGACUGAGAGAUGAAGUGAAAGAAUGCGUCAGAACAACUGCCAAGACACUGAACAUGUUGGGCUAGCUCUGUCGCAGGGACUGCACUUUCAGCUGCAGGGAGAGAUCCUGUUAGUUGUGAUUGUUUGUCAAACUGUCUCCUCUUUAUCUAAUUAGUAAGUUAAAAAUUCCAAAAAUUCCUUGAAAAUUGUCAAAUUGUUGAAAAUGGAUCAUAUUUGAGCAAAGUUCCCUGGGAACAAAUCUAGGACAUUUAUGUCUGCUGUAAAAUGUCUUUCGCCAACUAACACAACAGACCGAAGAUUAAAUGACGAGAGCCAAAACUCGCUAAACCUUGCAAUUUUACAGAUUUGGAAAUAUAAAACAAUUCUAUUGUUGUUUUUCAACACAUUAGUUUAAUCUGCAGUGUUUUGAAAUGUCUUCCACCAUGACACAAACUGCCAAGCUAAUGUUUGCUCUGAUUUUAUCUGAUUGCUACACUUUCCACGGUUGUCCUACUUUUCAUUCGAUCUGAACUGAAAUGCCCUGUCCCUCUUACAGCUAUUGUUCUCAACAAAGCCACGCCGGGGGAGACAUGUGGGUCUGGUUUGCUCUGUCGUGGUUCUCAGAGAAAAUAGGAAUCAAAUGGGGAAUCAAAAGCAACCCAGAAAUACAAAAUACAUGCACCGACGCCCUGCUGCUAAUUAUGAGUGGGGCGGCGGGAGGGUAAUAGGGUCCGGUCCACAUGAGGCAGCCACAUGCUCUCUCUCUCUCUCUCUCUCUCUCUCUCUCUCUCUCUCUCUCUCUCUCUCUCUCUCUCUCUCUCUCUCUCUCAACCCAUGCCAUUUCUCGCUGUCAUUCUGGUCAUCAUGUCGAAGCCUCCCUCUUCUCAAGCACUUAUUUGAGCUGUGUGUGUGUGUGUGUUCAGAGGAACCACAGUCAGAACAGACUGCAGCAGGAGCAUCUCUCAGUCUCUCAUCUCCCUCUCACGCAUUGACAGCAACAUGCUUUACUGCUACGUGUAAGAAUCUGCAUGUUUUAGUGCCUUUGAGGGACGCUGUAGUGUGUUUAUUUCUGGCAGAUCCAAUGAGUGUGUUUCACAGUUUGAAUUUUUAAAAUAUAUGUAUGCAUGCCAUAAGGUAUCAACCGCUUUAAAAUAUGUUUUGGAAGCCUUUACUGUGGCGCCCAGCGCAACAUUUGACACGUAAAUGACAGGGAAAGGUGAGAAGUUCAGAGAGUGACAUGCAAAACUGUGAAGAAUAAGUACCUUUUCUUUGGUUGGGGGGGAUAUUUUCCAUGGACCACUGUUCCACAUCCUGUUUAAAAAAAUAAUAGCGCAGAGGUGAAGUAGCAAAAAGUGAAUGUUAUUUCUGCAAGUUUGCACGACUGUCCAUUAAAAAUGGGCUGACGCUCAAAGUUUCUCUGUACCGAGUUUGCAAUGUCUCUGCUUCAGAGUGCAGGAACCCCUAGUCCGCGACCCUUAUUCAAGACGGGACACAAAGCCACUAUACUCUACUGUAUGGAACAUAUAGUGUAUGGAAAUGAAGGCAUCGCGCUGAAACCUGUCUGUCUGACAAAGUAAUUUACUUGCUCAUUGAAUGCAUUAUUAAAUAUUCUAAAUUUGAUUAGUUUUAGAAAUUUGUAAUGUAAUCGGGUUGCCUGUAGUUAUUUAAAAUUUUUAUAUAAGCCUGUUUUAUUAUCUCCUGACAUGACCUUAGUUCUAUUUGCACAAGGAUAUUGUUGGUUUGUCCUGCUAUGUGCGCACUGAGACUUGGAUUACUAAUAGAAUAAAUAUAUUGAAUUAAAAUAUUGUUUCAUGAAUUAAUUUAGAUUGAUCCAUCCAUCCUUCAACUGAUCUCCUCCCCUGUUGCUACUCAGAGACUCAAGACUUUUGGCUCAGACACUUCAACAUCUAAGCCGGGUGUUUAGUUUGAAACCCUGGCCUUAACAUGCACCACGUCCUCACUCUGAAACCCUAGAUUACAAUAAUUUACAGAGCAGCUCAAACAACCUCGCCAACUGUUGUACUGUCACGCAAUUGAAGGUUCUUGUGGUGUUCGCCCAAGGAAAAUUAAUCAGCAAAACACAGUGGAGCACUCUUUGGACGAGAGAGAUCUCGCAAAUGUUUGAAGGAUGUGGCUAAGCGGCGAGCCUAAGACUUGAGCACAGUCGCUAGUUAGAAAACAAUAAAUAGAGCCAUAUAGUGAGUGAUUUGCCGGCCCUGAUUGGUCAAGGGCAAUUCUGCAACAUAGACCAAUUCACACAGGCUCACCAUUCUAGCUUUGUGCUUUUAGUGAUUUCCGUUGUUGGCCUGUUAAUGUUGUUCAUGCUAAUCCGGCUCCAGAGCAGGGCCCGUAGCUUGGAGCUAAAUCUGGUGCUAAAGCACUUUAGAUUAUGCUGGUGUGAACACUCGGUCUGCCUUGGGCUGACACUCCAGCGUGUGAAAGCAGUAUGGCAGGAGGCUAGGCUAUUGCCCUCCUAAGCAUGGGAAAACAGCCACACUGUCACGCCGGUCCAUCACAGGGUCACGCACAAACACACAAACACAUGUGUGCAUUCACACGCACACACAAACGCACGCACACACACACACACACACACACACACAUACACACACACACACACACACACACACACACACACACACACACACACACACACACACACACACA